rnacentral:rRNA from 1 species
AGCAGCCGCGGUAAUUCCAGCUCCAAUAGCGUAUAUUAAAGUUGUUGCAGUUAAAAAGCUCGUAGUUGAAUUUCGGGAUCAUUAUGUUGGUCGUGCCUUGGUACGUACUGGCAUUAUUGAUUCCUACCUUCUGAAGAACUUCGAUGUCAUUAAUUUGGUGUCUUGGGGAAUCAGGACUGUUACUUUGAAAAAAUUAGAGUGUUUAAAGCAAGCUCACGCUUGAAUACAUUAGCAUGGAAUAAUGAAAUAGGACGUUUGAUUCUAUUUUGUUGGUUUCUAGGAUCGACGUAAUGAUUAAUAGGGAUAGUUGGGGGCAUUAGUAUUCAAUUGUCAGAGGUGAAAUUCUUGGAUUUAUUGAAGACUAACUACUGCGAAAGCAUUUGCCAAGGAUGUUUUCAUUAAUCAAGAACGAAAGUUAGGGGAUCGAAGACGAUCAGAUACCGUCGUAGUCUUAACCAUAAACUAUGCCGACUAGGGAUCGGAUGAUGUUAAUUUUUUAAUGACUCAUUCGGCGCCUUACG